GUAGGACUACGGUGAGGGGGCCAUCACGAGCUCGCCGGCGCCUGCGGCUGAGGUUGCGGCUGGGCGGCCUGCGGGCGGUUGAGGGGUGACGAGAACAGCGCGGCGAACGACGAGGGCCUCUGCUCCGGCGGGGCCGCCGCAAUGCCGCCGCCAGCGGCGGAGGGGGACGAGGAGGAGGCCGGCGCCGGCGCCGCGGCGGCGGGGGCGGAGGAGUUGGAGGCGACGCGCUCGCAGGAGGGGCACAUGGACAGGGUGGUGGCCGGGAGGUGCAUGUAGAAGGGGUGCACCGUCUUGAGCGCGCGCAGCUCCGCCAGCUCCUUCUGCAGCCGCCGGUUCUCCUCGGUCAGCGUCUCGCAGCAGCGCUUCAGGUACUCGCAGUCCACCUCCGUCUGCUUCAGCUUCGUCCUGCACCGAGUUUUUCUUAUAAGAUUAUUUUGCCAUGCGGAUGCCAAUUAAAUUAAAGUAGUACUCCGUAGAUGGCAUGUCUAGGCGCGGCGUGUUCGCGCGCGCACCUGGCUCUGCGGUUCUGGAACCACACCUCCACCUGGCGCGGCCGGAGGUUGAGCUGCUUCGCCAGCGCCAGCUUCUGCUUCUGCGCGCCACAAACGUCAAGAUGGACCAUCAGGCAUGUUUUUGCGCGAUCAGAGUUGGGUUACGACGGCGGUCGGAUGUGC
rnacentral:lncRNA from 1 species